GAUGAACGCUGGCGGCGUGCCUAAUACAUGCAAGUCGAGCGAACGGACGAGAAGCUUGCUUCUCUGAUGUUAGCGGCGGACGGGUGAGUAACACGUGGAUAACCUACCUAUAAGACUGGGAUAACUUCGGGAAACCGUAGCUAAUACCGGAUAAUAUUUUGAACCGCAUGGUUCAAAAGUGAAGGACGGUCUUGCUGUCACUUAUAGAUGGAUCCGCGCUGCAUUAGCUAGUUGGUAAGGUAACGGCUUACCAAGGCAACGAUGCAUAGCCGACCUGAGAGGGUGAUCGGCCACACUGGAACUGAGACACGGUCCAGACUCCUACGGGAGGCAGCAGUAGGGAAUCUUCCGCAAUGGGCGAAGGCCUGACGGAGCAACGCCGCGUGAGUGAUGAAGGUCUUCGGAUCGUAAAACUCUGUUAUUAGGGAAGAACAUAUGUGUAAGUAACUGUGCACAUCUUGACGGUACCUAAUCAGAAAGCCACGGCUAACUACGUG
rnacentral:rRNA from 1 species